CCUACGGGAGGCAGCAGUGGGGAAUAUUGCACAAUGGGGGAAACCCUGAUGCAGCGACGCCGCGUGAGUGAAGAAGUAUUUCGGUAUGUAAAGCUCUAUCAGCAGGGAAGAAAAUGACGGUACCUGAUUCAGAAGCCCCGGCUAACUACGUGCCAUCAGCCGCGGUAAUACGUAGGGGGCAAGCGGUAUCCGGAUUUACUGGGUGUAAAGGGAGCGUAGACGGCAGCACAAGUCUGGAGUGAAAUGCCGGGGCUUAACCCCGGAACUGCUUUGGAAACUGUGCAGCUAGAGUGCAGGAGAGGUAAGUGGAAUUCCUAGUGUAGCGGUGAAAUGCGUAGAUAUUAGGAGGAACACCAGUGGCGAAGGCGGCUUACUGGACUGUAACUGACGUUGAGGCUCGAAAGCGUGGGGAGCAAACAGGAUUAGAUACCCUUGUAGUC
rnacentral:rRNA from 1 species